rnacentral:lncRNA from 1 species
UUUUUUUUUUUUUUUUUGCUUUUUAGGGCUGCACCUGGAGCAUAUGGAGGUUCCCAGGUAGUGGUCCAAUCAGAGCUACAGCUGCUGGCCUACACCAGAGCCACAGCAACACCAGAUCCAAGCCACAUCUGAGACCUACACCACAGCUCAUGGCAAUGCUGGAUCCUUAACCCACUGAGCGAGGCCAGGGAUCGAACCCUCCAUCUCAUGGUUCCUAGUCAGAUUUGUUUCCACUGCGCCACGAUGGGAACUCCUGAAGGAGUAACUUCUAAAUUGAGACCUGAAAGAUAUAUAGUCUUAUUUGGGCAAAGAAUGGGAAAAAGAAUUUUUUUUUCUGGUAGAAUGCUUUGAGGAAUACAAAAAGGAAAAUUUAAGGAACGAAAAGAGGACAAAAAUAGCUGAGGAGCAGUGGGCAAGGAGACUAGUGAGUUGGAUUGUGUGAAACACAGACAGGACCAGGUCACACAGGGCUUUGCAUGAGGAGUUUGAAUAUUAUUCUAAGUCUAAUUAGAGUCUAUAGAAGGAUUUAAGAACAAGAUGGCUUAAUUAGAUUCAUAUUUAAAGACGUCGUUUUGACUAUGAUAUAGAAAUAAAAUUAGGAAUGAAAAUUAGGAGAUCAGUUAAGUACUGCAGGGUCAGAGAUUAAGGGAGGCGUGGUGACAGCUUACAUUUGAGUAGUACAGGUGAAAAGGGAGCAAUAUUGAGGCUCUUUUGCAGGUAAGUUUUAUAGGACUUCGUUUUGUAUUUCUUGUAGAUAGGUGAAUAAGGAACACAUCAAAAAGUGUAACAUUCCAAUAGUCACAGAUUUCUUUCCUAAAGAAUUAAUAGCCUUAGUAGGAAGAUAAUAAGCACACAAAUAAGAGAGAUACAUCUAAAGAGGUUUGGGGAGCAUAGGAGUAUCCUGGUUUGUGCAGGAGGAUCUCAAGCAAGGCUUCACAGAGGUGGUGGCAUUUGAAGCAUAUGGAUACAUUUUAGGAUGUAUAAAUACAACAGAGAAUACAAUCACAACUAUACAGAUAUGUGCGUACUUCCACCUCUACAGAUUUUUAUGUAGUCCUAUAUUUGGCACAAAUAUACUGAAUGCCUACAAUAUGUCAAAAGUGUUAUACAGGAGUUCCCAUCGUGGCGCAGUGGUUAACGAAUCCGACUGGGAACCAUGAGGUUGUGGGUUCGAUCCCUGCCCUUGCUCAGUGGGUUAACGAUCCAGCGUUGCCGUGAGCUGUGGUGUAGGUUGCAGACGCGGCUCGGAUCCCGCGUUGCUGUGGCCCUGGCGUAGGCCAGUGGCUACAGCUCCGAUUGGACCCCUAGCCUGGGAAUCUCCAUAUGCCACGGGAGCGGCCCAAGAAAUAGCAAAAAGACCAAAAAAAAAAAAAAGUGUUAUACAUUUUAAUGUAACAUUUAAUGCCCAAGUAGAUACUCAUUCUUACCCAUUUUACAGAAAGAGACAGUUAUAUAGUUAAUGUACUCAAUAAUGCAAACCAUAUAUAUAAUUGAGGCUGUUUUGAAUUUAGUUUUGCUGGACUUAGAAAUUUUUAAUUCAUAAUAGCAACAUCUAUCCCCUAGCACGUAAUACAUUAUUCUUCAUAAUACUUAUACUGUCUAAUGUAAUGAACAUUUUACAAUUUUCCUUUAUUUACCUCUACUAUUAAAAUAUUAAGCCCUCUGAAGGUCAAAAUUGUCCUGUUUCAUUCACCAAUGGAUCCUCAGCACUCGGAUAGAGUCUGUACUCAAAGCUACUAAGUGGGAGGAAUAAAUCUGAAAAAUGGAUGCUUAUAAACCCAUUUUCCUCCCACUCAUCAAGAUCUUUCAGCAAAUUCAAGUAUAUCAGUUUAUAAUGUUAUUGAUCUAGUUUUACCAACUCAAACCAUAUUUGACUUUAUCCUUUCUUUUUAUUACCCACCAGCCAGUUCAGAAUAAAUUUAUUGACCCAGGUGCUAGGCUCCAGUUUGACGAUGAAGAUAUACAAGACAGACUAUGCCCUCAGGGAGCAUGUGAUAUAUUGGAAGACACGACAUAAUCUUUUGAAAGGUUAAAUAAUACUAACAUGGUGAUGUAAUCAAUAUCAAAAGACUGCAUUAAGACAAAAUUGAAGUGCCAAAGAGAACAAUAAGGAUAAUAUAUAUAAUGGCAGAUAAGAAGACAUUAUUGAGGAUUUAGUUGAUCUAUUUCGGCUUCAUAGAGGAAAAGAGCUUUGACCAGGUUAUUAAAAAUAGGUAAGAUUUUCUUAGGAAAAAAGAAAAUAUGAGGACAAGCCAGGUAAGAGCCGUGUAGAAGCAGAAGCAUACGAGUGAACCUAAAUAAACUGGAGGAACAAGAUAUCGAAAGGGCUGACUGGAUCAAAGAAUGAGAGAACAUGAGUUUCUGGGAUACUAUGCCCAAAUGUGAGAACUGGAAUUAACUAAUUGAGGUUUCCAAACAUAUCUUGAUAUUAGGUAAUGACUUAAGAUUUGUUUUACUUUUGAAUACUUCAUUACGGCAAGGUAGGUGAGGUCAAAUACCUCAAUGUCCCUACACUAAGGGAUAAAGGACAAGUAUUACCAUGGAAACCUACAAGCUGAAGGUCAGAAAGCUCCCCUGUUCUGACAGCAUCAUGCAGAGAAGGGUCUGGGGCCUGAAUGAUCUGCACAAAACAUAACUGGUUUGAGUCUUAGGGCAAAGGUGUUGUUCCUUUGCUAUACCACAGUGCAAGAGCAAGGAUAAUUUUGAAGCAAAGUUCCUUACCAGACAUCUUGAGGCAAAUGCCAGUUGUGCAUAAACUUGUUGAAAAUGGCAGUCUCCAGCAUCUAUGACUACAGUAAACUAUAGAUUUGAGCUCCUGGCCAAAAGGGAUGCCAUGGUCCCUGUGAAGCUGGAAUCAGGCACCUGUUCCCAAGCCAUCUGAGUCUUUAGGGAUGGUCUCCAAAGCAAUCCUACUUAUCUCUUUCACCAGCUCAUUGACGAAUUGAUCAUCUCAGAUAUGCUCUAUUAAUUUAAAAGAAUGAUUAUCAAUUGAUUCAUUUAUUUAUUCAAAAAUGUGUCUGUUGUGCCUCAGUUUUAAAAGCAUUGUCACUACUAUAUAUCAGCACUAAUAUAGGCAUUAGAUACAUAUCUGAGAGCAAGACAGAGCCCCUGGUUGGGGAUGCUAGUGCUGUGAUGAAGGCUAUGAGAGCAGCAAGCACAGGACACUGUGGGGAGGUAGAAGAAGGACACCUACACUAGAGCAUAGUGACAUCUAAACUGAAAUAUAAAGAUGAGUCAGCAGAGGACUCUGGGAAGGAAAGGCUCUCCAGAUGGGGAAACUGGCAUGAGCAAAGGUGAGAUGAGGAGAAACCAGAGCCUGUUCACAGGGCUGCAAGUGAUUCGGGGGGCAGGAGCAUUGGAGAUGGAGAAGCAAAUGGUCCAGAUUAGAAAAAUCUUCAGGUCAUGUUAGGGAAUUUGACCUUUGCCUAAGGGACUCUUGGAGGGCUUUAAUCAGAGGAAGAGAAUGUCCAUAUUCUGUUUUUAAAGGGUCUUCUUAACAGCACUGACAAAAAUAUAGUGUAAUCACAGAGAAGAGCCAUAUACAUAAUUGUAAGUGUUCUAAUAGCCAUACUUUAAAAUAAAGAGAUGAAAUAAUAUUAGUAACAUAUUUCAUAUAACACAAUGUAUCUAAACUCUUAUUGUUUUGGCAUGAAAUCAACACAAACACUGUCAAGGAGGUAUUUUACAUUCUUUCAUUUGUACUAGAGCUUUGGUAUCCAUUGUGCCUUUUACACUCACAGCACAUCUCCAAUCGAACUAACCACAUUUCAAGUGCUCAAUAGCCACAUGUGGUGAGAGGCCACUGUCCUGGGCAGUGAACCCCUGGAAGUGGUGGACAGAAAAGAGUUUGGGGUAGAGAACGGCUGAGGGUGGGGCUGGGACAAAUCUGAAGAAAUUUUGAAACAUAAUGCUUCUUGAGGUACACUCAGGUAUGGGUGGGUCCACAUUGAGUUGAUUUGAGGCUACAGGCCCAGGUAAAAGGAAGCUCAGCUAUUGAGAAGAAUAAAGCAAUGGACAGGGACAGAAACCAAUACGAUGCUUUUGUAGUACCUACCUGACACCUGCCUCCAGAAGGCCCCAGGUGGCACUGUAUGAUCUUGAACAAGUUUCAGCUUCCCCAAAUGUUUCCACAGCAAGAACAGGGACAAAGGAGCAGCAAUUAAUUGUGGACGUUUGCAAUCAGGCAGGCAGCAAAGAGGUAGCCUAUUACAAUGGAGUAAGAGCUAGGUCUCAGGCACAUCUUCAGGCCCCGGAAGGCAGAGUAUGGCAAGACUCCAUCAGGAAACUAUCUAGAAAGAAAAUGAAAAAGAUUUUUAAAAAUAUGUUUGAAUACUUAUUAUGUGCCAACUCGUGGAACCAAAACAUAGCCAGACAGAUCACACCAACCUAUGCAGAUGAACAUGUGAAACGACUGCAAUCCUCCUCCCCAGCUAUCACAGUACAAUGAUAAGUCCCCACUGUAAUCGAGCUUAUUCACUGAUAAUCAAACCUGAAAUCCAUUGAGCUUGCUGACCUCACAUCACUAAAGUGCAAAUUCUAAUUUCAUAGGCCCUGAUGCUUUCCAGCCCUUCCUUGAUGUGAAGGGAGAAGGGAACCACUGCCUUCCCUCUGUAUUGUUUUGAGUUAGAGGGGAAUACGUUGCACAGCAAAAGAGGAAUAGGAAUUAAUGCAACAUCUCUGAGCUGACAGGUGUGGCCCUUUCUUUCCCAGUGGGCUCACAUGCUAACAGUAUGUUUGGCAAGGACAGGGUUAAUUAAGGGUCACAACCUUCUGGAUAGAACCCCAUCUGUCCACUCACCUUCAAACCCUAUUACCCACUCUUUCUAGAUUCUUUCUUCCUUGAUGAAUGGAAAGGAUUUCCACCCCCCUCAGAAGAUGCACAGGCUCUCCCUUUGAUUUGUGCUUCUCCAUGCCCACUGGUAGUUUUGUAAAUACCUCGUAGUUCCCAUGCAAAUCCAUGGAUCCAAAUGGAUGCUGUGUGUAUAGAAACUGAAGUAGUACCCUCAGCUUCAUAACUCAGACAAAUUUAAGACCCAGUCUUUCCCCAAUACACUUUUAUUCUUUCACUCAUCUACCUUUCCAUUUUAUGGAUGAGAAAAGCAGGAUUUGGGAUUAUCAAGUAACGUGUCUGAUACAACCAUGCGGCAGAGCCAGGAUUCAAAUCUAAGUCUGCCUUGCUCCACUGUUCAUGAUUUUUCUUUUGAACAAGUCUGUCCUGGUAUUUGGAACACAUGGGACAAAUCAAGGAUCCAGUUACCCGAAGUGGGGAACACACAGUAAAAAAGUCUAAGAAAGCAGUUAAGGCUUAGGAUCAGAACUAACCUUAAAGGCCAAGGCAAAGAAAACAGGGACUGGAUUCUGAAUCUUAGGCCUAAUACCAUCCUUCUACCACCAGAUGAAGCAUAAAAGAUCAGGACGGUUACAAUUUCAGCUGGCCUCUGGGGCUGGACUGUCAGAGUUUAAAUCCUAGCUCCACCGCUUGCUAGCUAUGUGGCUUGGGACAAAUUACCCAAUCACUUUGUGCCUCAGUUUCCUCCUCUGUAAAUAUAGGUAAAAUAGCACCCUUCUCAUGGAGUUGUUUCAGGAUGAAUAUUGUUAAAAAUUUGGGGAAAAUGCCUGUGCAAUGCAAUUCUGACAUUAACUCCCUGGAGUUAUUGCAGACUUCACAGGCUAAGGGAACAGCCUUCCAAGAUUGCCUUCACUUCAGAUACCAGCCACAAACUCUGGUCCCCAAGUUGUUUAUCAUUCUGACCAACUGGCUACAAAUUCUUGAGUUUCCACUCUCCUCUCGGGUUGGAUAAU